rnacentral:tRNA from 1 species
UCUCCUGUAGCUUAGUGGUUGAUUGUCCGCCCGGUGUGCGGGUGGUCAUAGGUUCGAGUCCUGUUGGGAGAA